rnacentral:rRNA from 1 species
AACGAACGCUGGCGGCAUGCCUAACACAUGCAAGUCGAACGAGACCUUCGGGUCUUGUGGCGCACGGGUGCGUAACGCGUGGGAACCUGCCCUUAGGUUCGGAAUAACUCCCCGAAAGGGGUGCUAAUACCGGACAAUGUCUUCGGACCAAAGAUUUAUCGCCUUUGGAUGGGCCCGCGUUGGAUUAGCUAGUUGGUAGGGUAAAAGCCUACCAAGGCGACGAUCCAUAGCUGGUCUGAGAGGAUGAUCAGCCACACUGGGACUGAGACACGGCCCAGACUCCUACGGGAGGCAGCAGUGGGGAAUAUUGGACCAUGGGCGAAAGCCUGAUCCAGCAAUGCCGCGUGAGUGAUGAAGGCCUUAGGGUUGUAAAGCUCUUUUACCCGGGAUGAUAAUGACAGUACCGGGAGAAUAAGCUCCGGCUAACUCCGUG